CCUACGGGUGGCUGCAGUGGGGAAUUUUGGACAAUGGGGGCAACCCUGAUCCAGCCAUGCCGCGUGCGGGAAGAAGGCCUUCGGGUUGUAAACCGCUUUCGGCCGGAACGAAAUCGCCGGGGAGAACAUCCCCGGUGGAUGACGGUACCGGAAGAAGAAGCACCGGCUAACUACGUGCCAGCAGCCGCGGUAAUACGUAGGGUGCGAGCUUUAAUCGGAACUACUGCGGGUAAUGCGCUAAGAGAGGGUUGAAACCCCCGGGCUUAACCUGGGAACUGCGUUUGUGACUGGCGGGCUGGAGUGCGGAAGAGGGAGGUGGAAUUCCACGUGUAGCAGUGAAAUGCGUAGAGAUGUGGAGGAACACCGAUGGCGAAGGCAGCCUCCUGGUCUAGCACUGACGCUCAUGCACGAAAGCGUGGGGAGCAAACAGGAUUAGAUACCCCUGUAGUC
rnacentral:rRNA from 1 species